CCUACGGGAGGCAGCAGUGGGGAAUAUUGCACAAUGGGGGAAACACUGAUGCAGCGACGCAGCGUGAGUGAAGAAGUAAUUAGUUAUGUAAAGCUCUAUCAGCAGGGAAGAAAAUGACGGUACCUGAGUAAGAAGCCCCGGCUAACUACGUGACAGCAGCCGCGGUAAUAAGUAGGGGGCAAGCGUUAUCCGGAUUUACUGGGUGUAAAGGGAGCGUAGACGGCAGUGCAAGUCUGGAGUGAAAGGCGGGGGCUCAACCCCCGGACUGCUCUGGAAACUGUACGGCUGGAGUGCAGGAGAGGUAAGUGGAAUUCCUAGUGUAGCGGUGAAAUGCGUAGAUAUUAGGAGGAACACCAGUGGCGAAGGCGGCUUACUGGACUGUAACUGACGUUGAGGCUCGAAAGCGUGGGGAGCAAACAGGAUUAGAUACCCGUGUAGUC
rnacentral:rRNA from 1 species